CUUAACACAUGCAAGUCGCACGAGAAAUCUUCAGCUUGCUGAAGAGAGUAAAGUGGCGCACGGGUGAGUAACACGUGGGUAAUCUACCUUCAAAUCGGGAAUAACGUUGCGAAAGCGACGCUAAUACCGGAUAACAUCGAUCAGGUCUUGGCCUUUUCGAUCAAAGAUGGCCUCUACAUGUAAGCUGUCGUUUGAAGAUGAGCCCGCGUCCCAUUAGCUUGUUGGUAGGGUAAUGGCCUACCAAGGCGACGAUGGGUAGCUGGUCUGAGAGGAUGAUCAGCCACACUGGAACUGACACACGGUCCAGACUCCUACGGGAGGCAGCAGUGAGGAAUUUUGCGCAAUGGGGGAAGCCCUGACGCAGCAACGCCGCGUGAGUGAUGAAGGCUUUCGGGUCGUAAAGCUCUGUCAAGUGGGAAGAACCCACGUGGUAUUAAUACUGCCACGUGCUGACGGUACCACUGAAGGAAGCACCGGCUAACUCCGUGCCAGCAGCCGCGGUAAUACGGGGGGUGCAAGCGUUAUUCGGAAUUAUUGGGCGUAAAGGGCGCGCAGGCGGCCUGUUAAGUCAGAUGUGAAAGCCCGGGGCUCAACCCCGGAAGUGCAUUUGAAACUAUCAGGCUUGAGUAUGGGAGAGGGAAGUGGAAUUCCUGGUGUAGAGGUGAAAUUCGUAGAUAUCAGGAGGAACACCGGUGGCGAAGGCGGCUUCCUGGACCAAUACUGACGCUGAGGCGCGAAGGCGUGGGGAGCAAACAGGAUUAGAUACCCUGGUAGUCCACGCAGUAAACGUUGUUCACUAGGUGUAGCGGGUAUUGACCCCUGCUGUGCCGCAGCUAACGCAUUAAGUGAACCGCCUGGGAAGUACGGCCGCAAGGUUAAACUCAAAGGAAUUGACGGGGGCCCGCACAAGCGGUGGAGCAUGUGGUUUAAUUCGACGCAACGCGAAGAACCUUACCUGGAUUUGACAUCUCGGGAAUCCUUUUGAAAGAUUGGAGUGCCCUUCGGGGAGCCCGAAGACAGGUGCUGCAUGGCUGUCGUCAGCUCGUGUCGUGAGAUGUUGGGUUAAGUCCCGCAACGAGCGCAACCCCUAUCUUUAGUUGCCAGCGAUUCGGUCGGGGACUCUAGAGAUACUGCCCCGGUUAACGGGGAGGAAGGUGGGGAUGACGUCAAGUCCUCAUGGCCUUUAUGUCCAGGGCUACACACGUGCUACAAUGGGCGGUACAAAGGGUAGCGACACUGCGAAGUGAAGCCAACCCCAAAAAACCGUUCUUAGUUCGGA
rnacentral:rRNA from 1 species